rnacentral:tRNA from 1 species
AUUAUUUUGGCAGAUUAGUGCGAUGAAUUUAGAAUUCAUAUAUGUAAAUAUUUAC